CGAGAUUUUGUUGGAUAAUUUUUAAUGAUAUUAUGAUGAUUUGAAUUUGAAUAUUGUUUUUUUUUAAUUUUACAAAAUUUCAUUUUUAAUUCAUAAUUUGGAAUUCUACAAUAAAGAAUCAAUAAAGUUAUAUACACCAAUAAAGAAGGGAAUCAAACACCAACAGGUUCAGACACUGGGAUGUGCGGCACAACAACAGAAGAAGUAAUGAUUGAUGGAAGUGGUAAGAGUAAAGAAAGAAAUAUGGAGGCAUAAUAAGUCAAAUGAUGAUUUGUAUAAAUUAGUAUGAAUGAAAUUUAACAAUUAAUUUGGAUGAAUAUAUCUUUAAAAAAAACGCUAA